UAAGGAAUAUUGCUCAAUGGGAGAAAUCCUGAAGCAGCAACGCCGCGUGGAGGAUGAAGGGUCUAUGACUUGUAAACUCCUGUAAAGAAGGAAAAAAUUCCCAUUAGAUGGGAGAUGAUGGUACUUCUGGAGUAAGCCCCGGCUAACUACGUGCAAGCAGCCGCGGUAAUACGUAGGGGGCAAGCGUUGUCCGGAUUUACUGGGUGUAAAGGGUGCUCAGGCGGAUUUGUAAGUCAGAGGUGAAAUCUUACAGCUUAACUGUGAAACUGCCUCUGAUACUGCAAGCCUAGAGUAUGGAAGAGAGUGAUGGAAUAUCUGGUGUAGCAGUCAAAUGCGUAGAUAUCAGAUAGAACACCAAUGGCGAAGGCAGUCACUUGGUCCAUUACUGACGCUAAAGCACGAAAGCGUGGGUAGCAAACA
rnacentral:rRNA from 1 species